rnacentral:tRNA from 1 species
GGGGUAGUAGCUCAGUGUUGGUUAGAGCGCCGGCCUGUCACGCCGGAGGUCGCGAGUUCGAGUCUCGUCCGCCCCGCCA